UACGUAGGCAGCAAGCGUUGUUCGGAGUUACUGGGCGUAAAGGGUGUGUAGGCGGUUCUUUUAAGUUUGGUGUGAAAUCUCCCGGCUCAACUGGGAGGGUGCGCCGAAUACUGAGGGACUAGAGUACGGGAGAGGAAAGUGGAAUUCCUGGUGUAGCGGUGAAAUGCGUAGAUAUCAGGAGGAACACCGGUGGUGUAGACGGCUUUCUGGACCGUAACUGACGCUGAGACACGAUAGCGUGGGUAGCAAACAGG
rnacentral:rRNA from 1 species